UUGACAGAAGAUAGAGAGCACAGAUGAUGAAAUGCAAAUUAGAAGGACCAAACAGUGCAUCUCACUCCUUUGUGCUCUCUAUUCUUCUGUCAUCA
rnacentral:pre_miRNA from 1 species